UACGUAGGGGGCAAGCGUUGUCCGGAUUUAUUGGGCGUAAAGAGCGUGUAGGCGGCCAUACAGGUCAGCUGUGAAAACUCGAGGCUCAACCUCGAGACGUCGGUUGAAACCGUAUGGCUAGAGUCCGGAAGAGGAGAGUGGAAUUCCCGGUGUAGCGGUGAAAUGCGCAGAUAUCGGGAAGAACACCCGUGGCGAAGGCGGCUCUCUGGACCGUAACUGACGCUGAGGCGCGAAAGCGUGGGGAGCAAACAGG
rnacentral:rRNA from 1 species